AGUCUGCAACUCGACUCCAUGAAGUCGGAAUCGCUAGUAAUCGCAGAUCAGCAUUGCUGCGGUGAAUACGUUCCCGGGUCUUGUACACACCGCCCGGUCACACCAUGGGAGUUGAUUGCACCAGAAGCAGGUAGCCUGACCGCAAGGGGGGCGCCUACCACGGUGUGGUCAA
rnacentral:rRNA from 1 species